CUGAGUGACCCUUUGGAGGUGCUGGGCUGUGCAGAGGGGCUGUGCUGGUCUUUCUGAGCCCCAGCCAUGGGCUCUGACUGUCCCCAAACCCACCCAAAAUAGAUGCAGUGCUUUGCCUGGAGUCACCUUGAGUGGAGCUUUCUGAGGACAGAUCUGCCCUGUCCUGACCUUGCCAGAGGCCAGGGCUCUCCUGGAUUGUCUCCUCUGGUGCUGGGGUCACAUUUUGGCCCUGUUCCACCAGCUGCAGCAUCCUGCACCCAUGCCACGUCCCCGCUGUCUGCAGGCUCUGCCCAAGGGGACAACCUAGUUAAGAUUGGACUUAACAAGCCUUUCACUUAAGGUCUUGGGCUGUCCCUUGGAACAAGCUCUUUUCCAUCCUUCCAUUACCAAGCAGCUGCAUCUGGGCCUGGAGAGGAUGUUAUUUCAUGUCCUAUUAUUUCAACAGCACCUCGGAGCUACGAGGAGAUUGAAGCUGCCUCUGUGCUUCCUCCCCAAAUGUCAGGAACCUCGGCUCAUGCACAUGGUGUGGCUGUGACCUCUCUGCUCAGAGCUCUCCAGGGAAAGCAGAUGUGAUUUAAAGAGGGGAACAAAACAGUGAGGGAAGGACAAAUCCCCCGAGGCCGGAGCAUCUCCGGGCGGUGCCGAUUACAAGAUGUGCUGCGGUGUCCUCCGACCUGCUGAUUCCUCCCGAGGGCUUUGGGAAGCUGCUUCCCUGCUCCCAGCUGAGCCAGCCCUGGCUCUGAUUCCCCUGGGAUUCGUGGCAUGCUCGUUUGUGCUGGGAUCUAAGCACUGUGUGCCAGGCUGAACAAGGUGGUUUCAUGGCUGCAGAGCUCCAGGCAGGGAGUGAGAAGGAUGAACCUUUUGGAUGUGGAGUCUUCACUUUUCCCUCGUCCCUAAUUAAAGGAGUGACCUUGA